CACAAGCGGUGGAGUAUGUGUUUAAUUCGAGGAUACACGAAGAACCUUACCAGGUCUUGACAUACCAUUGACCGUCUAGAGAUAGAAUUUUCCCUUUCGGGGACAAUGGAUACAGGUGGUGCAUGGUUGUCGUCAGCUCGUGCCGUGAGGUGUUGGGUUAAGUCCCGCAACGAGCGCAACCCUUUAUCGAUAGUUGCUAAUAUUAAGUUAAGGACUCUAUUGAGACUGCCAGCGACAAGCUGGAGGAAGGUGGGGAUGACGUCAAAUCAUCAUGCCCUUUAUGACCUGGGCUACAAACGUACUACAAUGGCCAAAUACAAAGAGAUGCGAAGCCGCGAGGUGGAGCGAACCUCAUAAAAAUGGUCUCAGUUCGGAUUGGAGUCUGCAACUCGACUCCAUGAAGUCGGAAUCGCUAGUAAUCGCGAGUCAGCAGAUCGCGGUGAAUACGUUCCCGGGUUUU
rnacentral:rRNA from 1 species